UAUGGAGGGUGCAAGCGUUAUCCGGAUUCACUGGGUUUAAAGGGUGCGUAGGCGGGUUGGUAAGUCCGUGGUGAAAUCUCCAAGCUUAACUUGGAAACUGCCGUGGAUACUAUCAAUCUUGAAUAUCGUGGAGGUAAGCGGAAUAUGUCAUGUAGCGGUGAAAUGCUUAGAUAUGACAUAGAACACCAAUUGCGUAGGCAGCUUACUACACGAUCAUUGACGCUGAGGCACGAAAGCGUGGGGAGCAAACAGG
rnacentral:rRNA from 1 species